UUCAAUCACAUGAUGCCAUUGGAGUACAAAGCAGGAUUUUUGGUGUAGCCGUUUUGACAAUGUGGUUCAUUUUUAAAUUAUAGUUUGCUAUGCCAUGAUUUCAUCACUUUUUAUAAACUGUUCAAAUAAAAGAAGGGCUUAGAUUUCGGACCAUUUCACUCAGGGAAGGAGUGCACAUGCGGAAACUGAUUUUGAGGGCAUCUAUAUCGAGGCUCUCCAUCAUCUCUUGUAUACACUGAAUUAUAUUCCAGAGUAAAGCUAAUACAUCUGCAAAGUCCAGGUCCAUCAGUCAGUUUGAUUCACAUCAUGGGUUACCGAAUGCAGCCAGAGUCAUAGAAACAUACUACUCUACACAAACUUCAUGAUGUCUUCAAAGAAUCAAAGCAUUGCGAUAGUCAAAGGUUUCUUCAAGGUAUAGACUUACUAUUUGGCAGAGUCAUUCAGCUGGUACUCAUUAGCACGACCUAAACAUUCUUGUACACCUGAAUCCACCCAUAGACGUUUCAUGGCUGCAAGAAGUUCUUCUGAGAAGGGUUCUGUAUCUUCCAUCCUGGCUAUAACAUCCAAAACCAUUUUGGCAUCAGACUGGAAAAAGAAAAAGUUUAGAAGUUAAUUUUUUUAAUUAUUUUAUCAUUAUUCAUUUGAUGGCAUAACUAGAACUUUUGAACAAAAUGAAAUAAAAUUUUAAAAAUCCAC